CUAGAAAGACAGGCCUCGCACCCGCACCUAAAAACUCAAAAUUUUUAGCACUCCAUUAUGCUACUUCCUA
rnacentral:tRNA from 1 species